GCUGGGCACGGUGGCAUGUGCCUGUAAUCCCAGCUACUUGGGAGGCUGAGACAGAAGAAUUGCUUGAACCCAGGAGGCAGAGGUUGCAGUGAGCUGAGAUCGCGCCACUACACUCCAGCCUGGGCAACAAAGCGAGACUCUGUCUCAA
rnacentral:SRP_RNA from 2 species